AAGAGAAGGAAAUUAUCAGUUGCCAUUGAUGUGAUGCUGAUUGCAAUGGUAUUCUCGCCGUUCAUUUAUGUGUCCUGAAACUGUCCACAAAUUGCUAUACCAAAGUUUUCAUCUUUCCGAAGAGGCAAAUAUCUAUACGGACAAAAAAAGGAAAAAGAAAAACGUGAGAGAAAGAAAGGAAUUUACACAAGAGGUAUAUUUGAU
rnacentral:lncRNA from 1 species